rnacentral:rRNA from 1 species
UACGUAGGGGGCAAGCGUUGUCCGGAUUUAUUGGGCGUAAAGAGCGUGUAGGCGGCUUGGAAGGUCAGCUGUGAAAACUCGAGGCUCAACCUCGAGACGUCGGUUGAAACCACCUGGCUAGAGUCCGGAAGAGGAGAGUGGAAUUCCCGGUGUAGCGGUGAAAUGCGCAGAUAUCGGGAAGAACACCCGUGGCGAAGGCGGGUUGCUGGGCCGACACUGACGCUGAUGCGCGAAAGCCAGGGGAGCGAACGGG